UACGGGGGGGGCAAGCGUUGUUCGGAAUUACUGGGCGUAAAGGGCUCGUAGGCGGCCAACUAAGUCGGAUGUGAAAUCCCCAGGCUCAACCUGGGAACUGCAUCCGAUACUGGAUGGCUUGAAUUCGGGAGAGGGAUGCAGAAUUCCAGGUGUAGCGGUGAAAUGCGCAGAUAUCGGGAGGAACACCGGUGGCGAAGGCGGUUCUCUGGGCCUUACCUGACGCUGAGGAGCGAAAGCGUGGGGAGCGAACAGG
rnacentral:rRNA from 1 species